rnacentral:lncRNA from 1 species
AUACAAAUAAUAUGAUUAACUUUUAACCACAUACAUGCAUUCGACAUUUGUAUUUGCAUCAUUUCUUUUUACAUUACAUAAUUUCCAAAAUAAAACUCUUUACAUUCUUUCAUUUAAAUAUUUGCAUCGUUCAUACAACUAUAUUCAUCAAAGUACAAAAGAUGAUAUAUAAAGGGUAUGCAACUACACAAAAUAUAAUCAACAAGGAUGGUCACUGUCUAUGACGCGAUACCUUUACCGCGAUCGUCGGCCGGCUCACUCGGUCCCGGCUCUGUGGAAAUAGUGGGGUGAGAACUACAACAAAAUUUUCAGUCGGUUCGGCCGCCGACCUCGCCGACUUUCCCACUAGGUCUAAAUCAAGCAUAACAGAAGAAUAGAUAGAUAGUAACCACCUAUAACAA